GCUCUGCUUUCCAUGAAUGACAAGCUUUCGGCUUUUCUUAUGUGUCUUGAAGAUAAACACUUCGAUUGCCAAGAAGUAUCGACUUUAUUGGCUCCAGUAGAAGCUCACGAACAACUUUCCGACUUAUCCGCCGCGUAUCUCUGCUGUGUUUCCUGGUGGACACCGUUGCGCACUGCUCUUUAUAUUAUCAUGCAUUGUCGGUAGCAAAUGUGGACCGAUAGAAAAUGCUGUAAACGCAUAGGAAAAUUGUUAAUCAUAAAGCGCUUUACGAGGAGAGCACCUCCACGUCUACUUAGCAGUACUGAAAACUUGCUUGACUUUUUGCUUAUAAAGCGAGACGCUGUUUUUCUGUCGUAUUUAAGCUCUAUAUUAAUUGUAAUAAUAUUAACUAAUCGAGAAAAAAAUAUUUUUUUCUACUACUGAGUGCGGCGGAUUUUAAGCUAUAUUCACACUUUGUUUUGUGGAGAAUAUUCGAGCUCAGCUUCCUUGACACCUUUUAUUUUUAAAGGAUAGAAGAACGGACCAUAAUAAGCU